AGCUCUGUAAGCGUAUACCAAAGUUGUUGCAGUUAAAACGCUCGUAGUCGGACGUUGGCGGGCGUUGCGGGUCGGCUUCACGGUUGAUUUUGCAGCGGCCGCCUUUGUGGAGGGGGGCUUUCGGGGUACUUCAUUGAAUCUCACUGUCGCCGCCACCGUUUACUGUGAAAAAAUUAGAGUGUUCAAAGCGGGCGUUUGCCAUGAAUACAUUAGCAUGGAAUAAUAGAAUAGGACCUGGUCCUGUUUUGUUGGUUUGUGAGUAUCAGGUAAUGAUUAAGAGGGACGGUUGGGGGCAUUUGUAUUGCGGCGUUAGAGGUGAAAUUCUUGGGUCGCCGCAAGACAAACAGCUGCGAAAGCGUCUGCCAAGGACGUUUUCA
rnacentral:rRNA from 1 species